CAUCCCCAAGCUUGAACUCUUGCCUCUCCUUAUUCUCCUCAUAUCGAUACCUCCUCGAUCUUCGAACACUUCAUCAACACAAAGCUUAACCGAACUUUUUAUUAGAGGAGUUAGUACAUAUAACAUCAAAUCCCAUCAUGUCUUGUUGUAACAUUAUUGUAUAAUUAUAGUCAAACAUUACCCACUGUGUGCUAUCACAAUUAUAUGGCUCCCAAGUCAAUGGGGCUCAACAAGAUUUCAAACAUAAGCAAAUAAACAAACUAUAACAGCAAUCUCUUAAAACAUGACAGUCUGUAAAGAUGCAGAUGGUACAUAUCUCUACUACUAUAGUACACGAUUUUUUGAAUAUUUGAAUCUGCCCUCUUCUCUCAUAUUUUACCCGCCACUUCCAGAAUCGAAUCAUCUGUGACCGUCAACUUAUUAAAUCCAACGGCCUGUGUCACUCGGAUUCGCCACUCACGCACUCCCGCCAAACCUGAAAACGAGUCGCCCCUUCUGGAGAACUCCACAGCCCACGGUAACCCACGAUACCUCCACCCUCCUGGCUCUAGCAAAUCGAUUCCCUGCCAACCUCCCAUUUUUCAUCUCACGCUGGUCUUUCCCCUGGAAUCUGGAUGCUCCGUCUCCAAUUUCUCUAGCCCGUGAGUCACACUCACACACCAGCAGCUCCAUUGGUCCAUGUCCGGUCCACACACCCUGAAUGGCAGCACCUCCGAAUCACCUCCACGUCCAGAUUGCCCCGUCUCCUUGCAGGCUCUGGCUUGCUUCAAAAUUUGUUUCCGCCUGGUGAUUAAAGGCUCAUACGAGCUGGACAUCCAUCUACGGCCAGCUGACCAUAGUGCCGUUGACCACAGGUGUUUGUGUUUAUGUCCAAACAGUACACUAUGAAAGGCAAUGCAGCAUAUGUUCAUUCUGUUCAUCAGGGAAUAGCUCCUGCAACACUAGAGUACUUGCAAAGCCAAAUAAGGAUAUUGACCCAUCAGGGAAAAGCACACAAAAUAUUGUCUACAAGGAUGUUUUGCUAUAAUUCAUGUGCGUGCUGUGUACUGCAGUGUGAUGUUUCUAAUAUGGUUGUAUUGAUGUAAAUAGCACCCAGGAAAAUAAUGUUAUAUAGGGCUUCAGUCAUUAGCUUGUGCCUGUGAAAGUUGUAGACCAAAAGUUAUAUUUGCAGCGGUACUAUUCUAGCAUAUACAAUACUUUAACCAUGUACUAUUCCUUUUUCAGUUAUUGCAUAUAGCAGAAAUCCAGCAACAGAA